CCCAAAGGCCCCAAGCCAAGGGGGGCUCAGAUGAUCCCACAGGAUCCAUUCCAGAUGAUCCCUAUCCCAAAUCCUGCACUGGAUGAACCCCCAGAUCCCAUCCCAGGUGAUUCCUGUCCCCAUUCCCACACCAGAUGAUCCUACAGAACCCAUCCCAGAUGAUUCCCUAUCCCAAAUCCCGCACUGGAUAAUAUUCCAGGAUCUAUUCCAGGUGAUUCCCUGUCCCAAAUCCCACCCUGGAUGAAUCCCCAGGGCCAAUCCCAGGUGAUUCCUGUCCCAGAUGGUUCCCAGUUCCCAUCCCAGGUAAUUCCCAGAUUCCACACCAGAUGACCCCACAGAAGCCAUCCCAGAUGAUCCCUAUCCCAAAUCCUGCACUGGAUGAUCCUCCAGGAUCCAUUCCAGGUUAUCCUGAACUCAGGAUGAUCUCCCAGAUCCCAUCCCAGGUUAUUCCUAUCCCAGGUCCUGGCUCAGAUGAUCCCACAGGACCCAUCCCAGGUGAUUCCUAUCCCAAAUCCUGCACUGGAUGAUUCCCCAGGAUCCAUUCCAGGUUAUCCCUAACUCCAGAUGAUCUCCCAGGAUCCAUCCCAGGUAAUUCCUGUCCUGGUUCCCGCACCAGAUGAUCCCACAGAACCCAUCCCAGGUGAUCCCAGAUCCCAAAUCCCACACUGGAUAAUCUUCCAGGAUCUAUUCCAGGUGAUUCCUGUCCCAAAUCCCGCACUGGAUGAAUCCCCAGGGCCAAUCCCAGGUGAUUCCUGUCCCAGAUGGUUCCCAGUUCCCAUCCCAGGUAAUUCCCAGAUUCCACACUGGAUGAUCCCACAGGACCCAUCCCAGAUUAUUCCUAUCCCAAAUCCCACCCUGGAUGAUCCUCCAGGAUCCAUUCCAGGUUAUCCUGAACUCAGGAUGAUCUCCCAGAUCCCAUCCCAGGUUAUUCCUACCCCAGGUCCUGGCUUAGAUGAUCUCCCAGGAUCCAUCCCAGGUGAUUCCUGUCCCAGUUCCCAGAUCAGGUGAUCCCACAGGAUCCAUCCCAGAUGAUUCCCUAUCCCAAAUCCCGCACUGGAUAAUCUCCCAGGAUCCAUCCCAGGUGAUUCCUAUCCCAAAUCCCACCCUGGAUGAACCCCCAGUUCCCAUCCCAGCUGAUUCCUGUCCCAGAUGGUUCCCAGUUCCCAUCCCAGGUGAUUCCCAGAUUCCACACUGGAUGACCCCACAGAACCCAUCCCAGGUGACCCCAUCCCAAAUCCCACCCUGGAUGAUCCUCCAGGAUCCAUUCCAGGUUAUCCCUAACUCCAGAUGAUCUCCCAGAUCCCAUCCCAGGUUAUUCCUACCCCAGGUCCUGGCUCAGAUGAUCUCCCAGGACCCAUCCCAGGUGACCCCUGUCCCAAAUCCUGCACUGGAUGAUCCUCCAGGAUCCAUUCCAGGUUAUCCCUCACUCUGGAUGAUCUCCCAGAUCCCAUCCCAGGUGAUUCCUGUCCCAGUUCCCAGAUCAGGUGAUCCCACAGGAUCCAUCCCAGAUGAUCCCUAUCCCAAAUCCCACACUGGAUAAUCUUCCAGGAUCUAUUCCAGGUGAUUCCUGUCCCAAAUCCCACACUGGAUGAACCCCCAGGGCCAAUCCCAGGUGAUUCCUGUCCCAGAUGGUUCCCAGUUCCCAUCCCAGGUGAUUCCCAGAUUCCACACUGGAUGACCCCACAGAACCCAUCCCAGGUGAUUCCUAUCCCAAAUCCCGCACUGGAUGAUUCCCCAGGAUCCAUUCCAGGUUAUCCCUAACUCCGGAUGAUCUCCCAGAUCCCAUCCCAGGUGAUUCCUGUCCUGGUUCCCACACCAGAUGAUCCCACAGGAUCCAUUCCAGAUGAUCCCUGUCCCAAAUCCCGCACUGGAUAAUCUUCCAGGAUCUAUUCCAGGUGAUUCCUGUCCUGGUUCCCACACCAGAUGACCCCACAGAACCCAUCCCAGGUGACCCCAUCCCAAAUCCAGCACUGGAUGAUCCUCCAGGAUCCAUUCCAGGUUAUCCCGAACUCUGGAUGAUCUCCCAGAUCCCAUCCCAGGUGAUUCCUGUCCCAGUUCCCAGAUCAGAUGAUCCCACAGGAUCUAUUCCAGAUGAUUCCCUAUCCUAAAUCCCACACUGGAUAAUCUUCCAGGAUCUAUUCCAGAUGAUCCCUAUCCCAAAUCCCACCCUGGAUGAACCCCCAGGUCCAAUCCCAGGUGAUUCCUGUCCCAGAUGGUUCCCAGUUCCCAUCCCAGGUGAUCCCAAAUCCCACACUGGAUAAUCUCCCAGUUCCCAUCCCAGGUGAUUCCUAUUCCCAAUCCCAUCUAUCCAUCCCCAUCCCUGGGUGCAGGGAACACCCUGACCAAGCUUUAGGGUGGAAAAUCGGGAUCAGGGAGAAAC